rnacentral:rRNA from 1 species
AGCGAACGCUGGCGGCAGGCUUAACACAUGCAAGUCGAGCGGACCUUUCGGGGUCAGCGGCGGACGGGUGAGUAACGCGUGGGAACGUUCCUUCCGGUUCGGAAUAACCCUGGGAAACUAGGGCUAAUACCGGAUACGCCCUUAUGGGGAAAGGUUUACUGCCGCACGAUCGGCCCGCGUCUGAUUAGCUUGUUGGUAGGGUAAUGGCCUACCAAGGCGACGAUCAGUAGCUGGUCUGAGAGGAUGAUCAGCCACACUGGGACUGAGACACGGCCCAGACUCCUACGGGAGGGAGCAGUGGGGAAUAGUGGAAAAUGGGGGCAAGCCUGAUCGAGCCAUGACGCGUGAGUGAUGAAGGCCUUAGGGUUGUAAAGCUCUUUUAUCCGGGACGAUAAUGACGGUACCGGAGGAAUAAGCCCCGGCUAACUUCGUG